UACGUAGGUGGCAAGCGUUGUCCGGAUUUAUUGGGCGUAAAGCGAGCGCAGGCGGAUUGAUAAGUCUGAUGUGAAAGCCUUCGGCUCAACCGAAGAACUGCAUCAGAAACUGUCAAUCUUGAGUGCAGAAGAGGAGAGUGGAACUCCAUGUGUAGCGGUGGAAUGCGUAGAUAUAUGGAAGAACACCAGUGGCGAAGGCGGCUCUCUGGUCUGUAACUGACGCUGAGGCUCGAAAGCAUGGGUAGCGAACAGG
rnacentral:rRNA from 1 species